rnacentral:rRNA from 1 species
ACGGCUACCACAUCCAAGGAAGGCAGCAGGCACGCAAAUUACCCACUCCCGGCACGGGGAGGUAGUGACAAAAAAUAACGAUGCGGGACUCUUUUGAGGCCCCGUAAUCGGAAUGAGUACACUUUAAAUCCUUUAACGAAAAUCAAUUAGAGGGCAAGUCUGGUGCCAGCAGCCGCGGUAAUUCCAGCUCUAAUAGCGUAUAUUAAAGUUGUGUAGUUGGUUCUCGCGUGCCACGCUGUCGGUUCGCCGCCUGACGGUGUAACUGGCAUGUCGUGGCAUGUCCUGUCGGUGGCGAACUAGGGCCACACUCGUUUUCCUCACUUGGGCUUGUCUCGGGUGUGUGAAGCGGUGUGGUCACUCAGUUCGCCGGCUCUAUCCUGCCGCGGUGCUUUUAACCAAGUGUCGAGGUAGGCCGACACGUUUACUUUGAACAAAUUAGAGUGCUCAAAGCAGGCUUAAAUCUCUGCCUGAAUAGUGGUGCAUGGAAUAAUGGAACAGGACCUUGGUUCUAUUCUGUUGGUCUCCGGAACACAAGGUAAUGAUCAAUGUGGACAGGCGGGGGCAUUCGUAUUGUUAAUUGAUCAAGAACGAAAGUUAGAGGUUCGAAGGCGAUCAGAUACCGCCCUAGUUCUAACCAUAAACGAUGCCAGCCAGCGAUCCGCCGACGUUCCUCCGAUGACUCGGCGGGGAGCUUCUUCCCGGGAAACCAAAGCUUUUGGGUUCCGGGGGAAGUAUGGUUGCAAAGCUGAAACUUAAAGGAAUUGACGGAAGGGCACCACCAGGAGUGGAGCCUGCGGCUUAAUUUGACUCAACACGGGAAACCUCACCAGGUCAGGACAUUGGAAGGAUUGACAGAUUGAUAGCUCUUUCUUGAUUC